GCCCGCGUAGAUCAGUGGUAGAUCGUCUCUGAUGAAUAAUCUAAAUGUUUUCGUCCACAUUUUCAGAGGAAACGGAGGUUCGAAUCCUCCUGCGGGCA